rnacentral:rRNA from 1 species
AUGGAUGGCACCAUCUGCUAUGACCCCAAUAGAUGCGCCUUCUCGCCGAGCCUGUCUCAAACCGUGCUGCUCGAGGUGAUCCGCAGUGGCGCUCGGCUAUGGAAGACGAGUUUGCAGCGCUUCGCCACAACUCAACGUGGUCGCUGGUUCCUCACCCACCUGUCGACAAGUAUAAAGCUCACGUCGUUGCCAAGGGUUUUACGCAUUAAAACCCAGUGUUUCAUGCACACACUAAACACAUUGAAGUGGAUUUCCACUUUGUUUGGGAGAAGGUUUGCACUUGGAGCUUUGGAAGUCUGUUUUGUGUCGUCAGCAGAUCAGGUCGCUGACGUCUUCACCAAGCCAUCAACGAAGCAGAUGUUGGAACGUUUUAGAGCCAACCUCAACCUUGUUCAUAGUGGCUGA